rnacentral:rRNA from 1 species
GACGAACGCUGGCGGCGUGCUUAACACAUGCAAGUCGAACGGAAAGGCCCUGCUUUUGUGGGGUGCUCGAGUGGCGAACGGGUGAGUAACACGUGAGUAACCUGCCCUUGACUUUGGGAUAACUUCAGGAAACUGGGGCUAAUACCGGAUAGGAGCUCCUGCUGCAUGGUGGGGGUUGGAAAGUUUCGGCGGUUGGGGAUGGACUCGCGGCUUAUCAGCUUGUUGGUGGGGUAGUGGCUUACCAAGGCUUUGACGGGUAGCCGGCCUGAGAGGGUGACCGGCCACAUUGGGACUGAGAUACGGCCCAGACUCCUACGGGAGGCAGCAGUGGGGAAUGUUGCACAAUGGGCGGAAGCGUGAUGCAGCAGCGCCGCGUGCGGGAUGACGGCCUUCGGGUUGUAAACCGCUUUCGCCUGUGACGAAGCGUGAGUGACGGUAAUGGGUAAAGAAGCACCGGCUAACUACGUG